GGGGCAUGCCUGUUCGAGCGUCAUUUAAACCCUCAAGCUCAGCUUGGUGUUGGGUGCUUGUCCCGCCCCCGCGCGGCGACUCACCUCAAAAUCAGUGGCAGCCCGCACCCGCCGGCCGUGAGCGCAGCACAGUCGCGCCCUAGGCAAUUGGCAGGUCGGCUCUCCAGAAGCUCCUUCUUCCACUUUUGACCUCGGAUCAGGUAGGGAUACCCGCUGAACUUAAGCAUAUCAAUAAGCGGAGGAAAAGAAACCAACAGGGAUUGCCUCAGUAACGGCGAGUGAAGCGGCAACAGCUCAAAUUUGAAAUCUGGCCCUUUCAGGGUCCGAGUUGUAAUUUGCAGAGGGUGCUUUGGCGUCGGCCGUGGUCUAAGUUCCUUGGAACAGGACGUCACAGAGGGUGAGAAUCCCGUACGUGGCCGCCGGCCUUCGCCGUGUAAAGCCCCUUCGACGAGUCGAGUUGUUUGGGAAUGCAGCUCUAAAUGGGAGAUAAAUUUCUUCUAAAGCUAAAUAUUGGCCAGAGACCGAUAGCGCACAAGUAGAGUGAUCGAAAGAUGAAAAGCACUUUGGAAAGAGAGUCAAAAAGCACGUGAAAUUGUUGAAAGGGAAGCGCUUGCAGCCAGACGUGCCCGCAGUUGCUCACCCAGGCUCUCGCCUGGGGCAUUCUUCUGCGGGCAGGCCAGCAUCAGUUCGGGCGGUUGGAUAAAGGCCUCUAUCACGUAUCUCCCUUCGGGGUGACCUUAUAGGGGAGGCGCAACACGGCCAGCCCGAA
rnacentral:rRNA from 1 species